rnacentral:rRNA from 1 species
UACAGAGGGUGCGAGCGUUAAUCGGAAUUACUGGGCGUAAAGCGUGCGUAGACGGCUAUCUAAGUCGGGUGUGAAAGCCCCGGGCUCAACCUGGGAAUUGCAUUCGAGACUGAAUAGCUAGGGUACGGUAGAGGGAAGUGGAAUUCCGGUGUAGCGGUGAAAUGCGUAGAUAUCGGAAGGAACAUCAGUGGCGAAAGCGACUUCCUGGACCAGUACCGACGUUCAGGCACGAAAGCGUGGGGAGCAAACCAGGA